rnacentral:rRNA from 1 species
AUGGGAACGCGAAGAACCUUACCUACUCUUGACAUCCAGAGAACUUAGCAGAGAUGCUUUGGUGCCUUCGGGAACUCUGAGACAGGUGCUGCAUGGCUGUCGUCAGCUCGUGUUGUGAAAUGUUGGGUUAAGUCCCGCAACGAGCGCAACCCUUAUCCUUUGUUGCCAGCGGUUCGGCCGGGAACUCAAAGGAGACUGCCAGUGAUAAACUGGAGGAAGGUGGGGAUGACGUCAAGUCAUCAUGGCCCUUACGAGUAGGGCUACACACGUGCUACAAUGGCGCAUACAAAGAGAAGCGACCUCGCGAGAGCAAGCGGACCUCAUAAAGUGCGUCGUAGUCCGGAUUGGAGUCUGCAACUCGACUCCAUGAAGUCGGAAUCGCUAGUAAUCGUAGAUCAGAAUGCUACGGUGAAUACGUUCCCGGGUCUUGUACACACCG